CCAAGGAGUCUAACAUGUGUGCGAGUCGUAGGGUUCGUCCGAAACCCGAAGGCGCAGUGAAAGUAGAGGUCGGAUAUCUCUCGGGAUGUUCGACCGAGGCGGGAUCCGUUCUGUUGUUUUCUUUUUAAUCUUUUAAAAGGUUUAAAGGGAUUCAAAAAUUUGAGAAACGAAACUAUUUGUUUCUUCCUUUUCUCCUUCGGGGGUUUAGGAGAAACAGUGUUUUUUUUUUUGGACGGCGCACCGCCGGCCCGUCUCAACCGCCGCGUCGGUGAGGCGGAGCAAGAGCACACACGUUGGGACCCGAAAGAUGGUGAACUAUUCCUAGGCAGGACGAAGCCAGAGGAAACUCUGGUGGAGGUCCGUAGCGUUUCUGACGUGCAAAUCGAUCGUCAGACCUGGGUAUAGGGGCGAAAGACUAAUCGAACCAUCUAGUAGCUGGUUCCCUCCGAAGUUUCCCUCAGGAUAGCUGGCUCUCGAGACACACAGUCUCAUCCGGUAAAGCGAAUGAUUAGAGGCCUUGGGGCCGAAACGACCUCAACCUAUUCUCAAACUUUCAAUGGGUGAGAAGUCCGGCUUGCUCGACUGAAGCCCGGACGUCGGAUGCGAGUGCCCAGUGGGCCACUUUUG
rnacentral:rRNA from 1 species